rnacentral:rRNA from 1 species
UACGGAGGAUGCAAGCGUUAUCCGGAAUGAUUGGGCGUAAAGCGUCCGCAGGUGGCUAUGUAAGUCUGCUGUUAAAGAGUGAGGCUCAACCUCAUAAGAGCAGUGGAAACUACAUAGCUAGAGUGCGUUCGGGGCAGAGGGAAUUCCUGGUGUAGCGGUGAAAUGCGUAGAUAUCAGGAGGAACACCGGUGGCGAAGGCGGCGUUCUGGACUGCUACUGACACUGAGGAACGAAAGCCAGGGGAGCAAACGGG